CUAAUAACUUAUUACACCAUAUAAUAUAUAUUCUACAAUAUACUAAUGACUACUAUAUAAGAUAUUGCCUUAAAAAAAAUGUCAGACCCGUUAGGCCCGCCAGGCCCGGGACCGCAGUGGGCUUAGGCUCGUAAGGGGCCGGUCUCUACCGUGAGGACCGCCAGGCCCGCCAGGCCCGGCACGCCAAGCCCGGGACCCCGAACCCCGGUUCGUCAGGCCCGAGCCACAAUACAACAUUUCCCGGGACUUGAUUGUUGAGCUAUUGUUCCCUUGCAAAAUUCUUAUUAUUGUGAUUUCAUUUGUUCCCAUUCCCCAAUGUUUGUGAGUGUUUUAUGGUGAGGAAGCGUGCUAAGGCAGGAAGGGUGAUGCCAUGUAUUGUUUUGGUGAAAGAGUGUUAAGGCAUUAACAAUGAUGUCGUGUAUGAUUUAUGAGGAAAGAGUGUAAAGCACGAAGGUUGAUUUUGUGCCGCACGAUGUACCAUUCCGUGCCGAUUAUCUUGAUUAUACGGUGAGGACGAGAUUAAAAUAACAAAGGGUUAUGCCGUUCACAUUUUUAUUACUUGAUUAUUUAGUGAGGACGAAAGUAAAAGCACGAAGGGUGAUGCUGUACACUUAUUAUUUUUUGAUUCAUUGUUCAUAUCUGAGAUAUGUUGUUUCUCUCAAUUACAUGUUGUCUUUUUAUUCUAAAUUGAUAGUUCCCACGCAGCAUGUUACCCCUCCUAUACUUAACUGUAUAUUACAGUUCUUCUUUUCCGCUGUAUUUGGUUGAAUUGUACAGGUUUAUUUGGUAGUCCGUUCUUAGCCUCGUCACUACUUGGACGAGGUUAGGCUAAGCACUUAUCAAUACAUGGGGUUGGUUGUGCUGAUGCUACACUCUUCAUUUUGUGCAUUUCCCGGAGUAGCAGCUUUUGGAUUGUAGAUUGGGUGGAUGCCUUCAGUCCAUACGAAGACCCUAAGUAGUCCUGCAAUCAUCCGCAGACCCUGGCGUCUCCUUUAAUCCUUAUUCCUGUUUUAUUUAUUUAAUUCAAAAAAAAUGUAUCUUUUAUCUUUCAGACUUUGUAUCUAAUAUUCUUAGACCGUCUGUUAAAAUGUGACUCCAGUUUUGGGUAGUUUUUGGUUAAACAGUUGUAUUGAUACAUAUUUCAGAUAGUUUACUGCAUUUUUUCCUCUUAUUGAAAUUUCUACUGUGUACACGUUAUUACUUUAUAAUUGUUAAUGUAUAUAAAAUGGGUAAAAGGGUAAUUUAUACAAAUAGUCGGCUUGCCUAGCUAACAUUAAUAGGUGUCAUCACGACUUCCGAAGAUGAUAAAUCUGGAUCGUAGCACGUGUUGUCAGUUAAUUAUUGGCUUGAAAUUGAACAUUCACUAAUUAUCCGUGAGUUAAUGAUGGAAGUCGUUAUAAUAACAAGUUCUUUUAAAUGCCACUCGAGGGUGACUUUAGGUUUCAAGUUCGGGUUGUUUAAGGACCGUUUGGUCAUAGAGUUUGCCAAAAUUUAUAUGGUAUUUUUUUUGAUAAAUACAUAUUUGUUCAUAAAUUUUAUUUUA
rnacentral:lncRNA from 1 species